rnacentral:rRNA from 1 species
UACGUAGGGUGCAAGCGUUGUCCGGAAUUAUUGGGCGUAAAGAGCUCGUAGGCGGUUUGUCGCGUCUGCUGUGAAAACUCGGGGCUUAACCCCCGGGCCUGCAGUGGGUACGGGCAGACUAGAGUGCGGUAGGGGAGACUGGAAUUCCUGGUGUAGCGGUGGAAUGCGCAGAUAUCAGGAGGAACACCAAUAGCGAAGGCAGCUCGCUGGGACGUUACUGACACUAAGGCGCGAAAGCGUGGGGAGCGAACAGG